GCCUGGGUGGCUCAGUCGGUAGAGUGUCCGACUUCGGCUCAGGUCACGAUCUCGCGGUUCACGGGUUCAAGCCCCGCGCCAGGUU
rnacentral:tRNA from 1 species